AACGAACGCUGGCGGCAGGCUUAACACAUGCAAGUCGAACGCCCCGCAAGGGGAGUGGCGCACGGGUGAGUAACGCGUGGGAAUAUGCCCUUCGGUUCGGAAUAACACAGGGAAACUUGUGCUAAUACCGGAUACGAUCUACGGAUGAAAGAUUUAUCGCCGAGGGAGUAGCCCGCGUAGGAUUAGCUAGUUGGUGAGGUAAUGGCUCACCAAGGCGACGAUCCUUAGCUGGUCUGAGAGGAUGAUCAGCCACACUGGGACUGGGACACGGCCCAGACUCCUACGGGAGGCAGCAGUGGGGAAUAUUGGACAAUGGGGGAAACCCUGAUCCAGCCAUGCCGCGUGAGUGAUGAAGGCCUUAGGGUUGUAAAGCUCUUUCGCCAGGGAAGAUAAUGACGGUACCUGGAAAAGAAGCCUCGGCUAACUCCGUGCCAGCAGCCGCCGUAAUAC
rnacentral:rRNA from 1 species